GACGAACGCUGGCGGCGUGCCUAAUACAUGCAAGUCGAACGCUGAAGAGAGGAGCUUGCUCUUCUUGGAUGAGUUGCGAACGGGUGAGUAACGCGUAGGUAACCUGCCUUGUAGCGGGGGAUAACUAUUGGAAACGAUAGCUAAUACCGCAUAACAAUGGAUGACACAUGUCAUUUAUUUGAAAGGGGCAAUUGCUCCACUACAAGAUGGACCUGCGUUGUAUUAGCUAGUAGGUGAGGUAAUGGCUCACCUAGGCGACGAUACAUAGCCGACCUGAGAGGGUGAUCGGCCACACUGGGACUGAGACACGGCCCAGACUCCUACGGGAGGCAGCAGUAGGGAAUCUUCGGCAAUGGGGGCAACCCUGACCGAGCAACGCCGCGUGAGUGAAGAAGGGUGUCGGAUCGUAAAGCUCUGUUGUAAGUCAAGAACGGGUGUGAGAGUGGAAAGUUCACACUGUGACGGUAGCUUACCAGAAAGGGACGGCUAACUACGUG
rnacentral:rRNA from 1 species